GGAAGCGUAGCUCAAUUGGUAGAGCAAUGGACUCUUAAUCCAUAGGUUGAGGGUUCGAUUCCCCCCGCUUUCA
rnacentral:tRNA from 1 species